rnacentral:lncRNA from 1 species
AUGAUGGGAGUGACAUUGCCAUGGUUACCGGACACGCCACCCCAGGGGCUGGGGCUGGGCACAGCCAUCACUGCUGGCUCCCAAGCCUGUUUGUUCCUUCACAGAACGCUAUGCAGUUCAGACAGUCUCGCAAAAACAAUAGAAGGUGCUGUUUGUGGACUGAAAGUGUUUUCUACUAACCAAGAUAAAAAGAAUGUAAGUUACUUUAGAUUUCUAAGUAAAAUACCUAAAAGAGUCUUUGUACGUUAUAGACUGUCGUUCUUCAGAUAGUGAUCAAGUCAGACAUCGUACUUGCUUGGCAGGGGAGCCACUGUGAUGUGAGGCUCAUCCCCUGAACUCUAGGUGUAUUUACUCCUGUGAGUAAAUGCAGGAGAUUUGACUGCAUAAUUUGUGGUACUGGGGAACUUUUGUUUUUUGGGGGUUUUAUUUGUUUUUUAAUUUUACCAGGGAGACCUUACAGCUCCCUGAAAGGAGGUUGUAGUGACGUGGGAGAUAGCCUCUUCUCUCAGCAACUCGAUGAGAGGUAAUGGCCUCAAGUUGCACCUUUUCCCUUCAGAAAAGGUGGUGAGGCACUGGAAUGGGCUGCCCAGGAAGGUGUUGGGGUCACUGUCCCUGGAGGUGUUCAAGAAAUGUGGAGAUAUGGCACUGAGGGGCAAGAUUAGUAGUACAUAGUGGAGAUGGGUUUGUUGUUGGACUAGAUGAUCUUAGAUGUCUUUCAACCUUAAUGUUUCUGUGGUUUUAUGAUCAAAUACACUCCUACAAAAAAAAAAAAAGGAAAAUCUUAAUGGUAUUUGAUGUGAACUGGAGAGAGCUUUCAUAUAUAUGUAUUGAUCCUGUAUGUUCAAGAUAUUUUUGGCUUCUGCUUUCCAUUCUUCCUCAUCUAAAAUUUUUCUCAAUUUUAGAGUAAUUUGAGAUCUUUGUAAUAUCUUCUUUCUAGAGAAAGGUAUCUGGAAUAAUAUUUUGUUUCUGUAGGCUGAUAUUACUUAGUUAUGUAUGUUUGGGCAUUAAAUUUGACUUCGGAUUGCUUUAGUAACCCGAACUGUGACUAAUGCAACUAUCUUGUAAGGUUCGGAAUGCCUGAGAAAUACAUUCUAAGUACUUUUUUAUUACUGAUGUUGCGAGUGUCAGAAAAUGCCUUCGACAAGCCUGCUACAUUUGUUCAUCUGCAAAUUAUAAUCUGGAGGAAACUUUUUAAUGUUUUUAGUGUGUUUUCCAUCUCAAAGUUUACUAGGCUUAAAUAAGUAUGCUUUCUUGUAAUUGUUGUGGGUUU